UGCCCCCACGCUAACUGGAGGGUAGUCCAUCCAUCCAAUAAUGAUUUAUUGUUGAGCCUCCUGCUCUGAGCCAAGGCAGUGCCCGGGUACUAGGAGAGGCCCCUGGCACUCACGGAGCUUCUCGGCUGUGCGCUUUCCUUCCUUCGGAGGUGAGAGUUGCCCAGGCAGACCAAGGCUGGGAGAGUGGUAAUGCUUGCUGUCUUUUCCCCAGGUCUGGUCUCUGAUCCAGCUGGCGCGCAGAUACCUGCAGAAGGGCUACACCACGCUGCUGUUCCAGGAGGGGGAUUUCUACUGCUCCUACUUCCUGUGGUUCGAGAAUGACAUGGGGUACAAACUCCAGAUGAUCGAGGUGCCCGUCCUCUCCGACGACUCAGUGCCUAUCGGCAUGCUGGGAGGAGACUACUACAGGUGACGCUGCAUUGGGAGCCACU
rnacentral:sRNA from 1 species